rnacentral:rRNA from 1 species
GACGAACGCUGGCGGCGUGCUUAACACAUGCAAGUCGAACGGAAAGGCCCCUUUGGGGGUACUCGAGUGGCGACCGGGUGCGUAACACGUGAGUAACCUUCCCUUGCCUUCGGGAUAACUUCAGGAACGUGGGGCUAAUACCGGAAAGGAAUCCUUGCUUCAUGGUGGGGGUUGGAAAGCUUCGGCGGUUUUGGAUGGACUCGCGGCUUAUCAGCUUGUUGGUGGGGUAGUGGCUUACCAAGGCUUUUACGGGUAGCCGGCCUGCGAGGGCGACCGGCCACAUAGAGACUGAGGGACGGCCCAGACUCCGACGGGAGGCAAAAGGGGGGAAUAUUGCACAAUGGGCGGAGGCCUGAUGAAGAAACGCCGCGGGCGGGAUGACGGCCUUCGGGUUGAAAACCGCUUUCAGCAGGGGCGAAGCUUGUGGUGACGGUACCUGCAGAAGAAGCACCGGCUAACUACGUG